rnacentral:rRNA from 1 species
AUAAAAAACCAACGCGGUUCGCCGCUCCCUUGGUGAUUCAUAAUAACUGCUCGAAUCGCAUGGCCUUGCGCUGGCGAUGCUUCAUUCAAAUAUCUGCCCUAUCAACCUUCGAUGGUAGGAUAGAGGCCUACCAUGGUUUCAACGGGUAACGGGGAAUAAGGGUUCGAUUCCGGAGAGGGAGCCUGAGAAACGGCUACCACAUCCAAGGAAGGCAGCAGGCGCGCAAAUUACCCAAUCCCGACACGGGGAGGUAGUGACAAUAAAUAACAAUAUAGGGCCCUUUUGGGUCUUAUAAUUGGAAUGAGUACAAUUUAAAUCCCUUAACGAGGAACAAUUGGAGGGCAAGUCUGGUGCCAGCAGCCGCGGUAAUUCCAGCUCCAAUAGCGUAUAUUAAAGUUGUUGCAGUUAAAAAGCUCGUAGUUGAACUUCAGACCUGGCUGGAUGGUCUGCCUAACGGUAUGUACUGUCCGGCUGGGCCUUACCUCUUGGUGAGCCGGCAUGCCCUUCACUGGGUGUGUU